rnacentral:rRNA from 1 species
GUGGGGAAUUUUGGACAAUGGGCGCAAGCCUGAUCCAGCAAUGCCGCGUGCAGGAAGAAGGCCUUCGGGUUGUAAACUGCUUUUGUACGGAACGAAACGGUCCUGGUUAAUACCUGGGGCUAAUGACGGUACCGUAAGAAUAAGCACCGGCUAACUACGUGCCAGCAGCCGCGGUAAUACGUAGGGUGCGAGCGUUCAUCGGAAUUACUGGGCGUAACGCGUGCGCAGGCGGUGCUGUAAGACAGGCGUGAAAUCCCCGGGCUCAACCUGGGAAUUGCGCUUGUGACUGCAGUGCUAGAGUACGGCAGAGGGGGAUGGAAUUCCGCGUGUAGCAGUGAAAUGCGUAGAUAUGCGGAGGAACACCGAUGGCGAAGGCAGUCCCCUGGGCCUGUACUGACGCUCAUGCACGAAAGCGUGGGGAGCAAACAGGAUUAGAUACCCUAGUAGUCC